AAAAAGGCUCUUUUAAGAGCCACCAAAGUGUCAUCCAAAGGGCUG
rfam:Mus musculus chromosome 3, GRC primary reference assembly.